CUGUGCUUGCUUUGGCACAGUAUUGAAACUGGAACAAUAUAAAGAUUAGCAUGGCCCCUGCACAAGGAUGACAUGUAUAUUUGUGAAGCAUUCUGUAUUUUU